rnacentral:rRNA from 1 species
AUUGAACGCUGGCGGCAGGCCUAACACAUGCAAGUCGAGCGAGCGGCGGACGGGUGAGUAAUGUAUGGGGACUGCCCGAUAGAGGGGGAUAACUACUGGAAACGGUAGCUAAUACCGCAUACUAUCGGAUAACCCAUAUGGGAUUAGCUAGUAGGUGGGGUAAUGGCUCACCUGGGCGACGAUCCCUAGCUGGUCUGAGAGGAUGAACAGCCACACUGGGACUGAUACACGGCCCAGACUCCUACGGAGGCAGCAGUGGGGAAUAUUGCACAAUGGGGGCAAGCCUGAUGCAGCCAUGCCGCGUGUAUGAAGAAGGCCCUCGGGUUGUAAAGUACUUUUGGCAGAGAAGCGGUAUCUGCAGAAUAAGCACCGGCUAACUACGUGCCAGCAGCCGCGGUAAUAC